CCAUUACUGAUUGUGGAGUGAAGCCGCGUUUUGGAGCGUUGUCUUCAGCGACACGGUAGCUGGUUAUAGAGCGGAUGCCAACAGGAACGAGUUGAGCGUCUUCCCUACCAACUGCAAUCCAUAUCCCGUUUACAUGCAUCGCAACGUGUUAAGUAGCAGUCAGUGUAUCAGUGCGGUGGUUAUUGUGGUUGCUGGCCGCAUAUAGAUACCAGGUGCAUGACGUUCUCGGGUGCAGCUGUUCAGACAGCGAAGAAGCUAUUGAAGCACACAGCUAUACUGCAUUGUUAGCUGCUGUUCUCUUCCAGUUAGUUAUAGGUCCGGGUGCUGCUUUUAGAAUAUAUGUAUCUCUGUUUUCCCCUCUAGCCUGGGGGCCUAGGUGUGUAUAUGUGGUUAAGAGGAUAUUGUGAGCCACAGGUUAGAGGGUUUAUUUUUGUUUGUUUGUUUCAUUAAUUUGUUAUCUGUUUCCCCUGUGUCAUCUCCCCUGCCGCAAUAGCCUGGGUAUCGUUUGGGGCCCUAGCCUAGAUUACAGGUUGGCCAGGUUUUCCUCUAAGAUAGUUUCUCACCUUUGAUAAGAUGUGCAGUGUAAUGCAGUGAAGUGUGAACCCCUUUUUCUUAAUGUGCCCAAGUGGUGCGCUUGCGGUGGUGUGGCCAAUGAGCUAGUAGUGUGUGCUCUCCUUCACAUGUGGUAUUGGAGGCAGGCCCCUGUUAGUCUGUGUGGUCAGUGGCUCCGGAUUCUUACCCAACGGCUGGGGCAUUCCCCUGAAGUCCAUUUAAUGUAUUUAUGUAUUUAUUUAUUGACAACCAAAGUGACACCUUGUUUUAACGAGAAACAAAAUUAAACCUAAUCUUUUAUAUCUUUCCAAAGAA